AUAUAUUUAAUUUUUUUUAUUUUUUGGGCCUAGUCACUACCCAAAUGCUACAGCUAGAUUAAGGGGUUUAAUCCUAUAAUAUCUGACAUAUAGAAUAUUCUAAAUCUGGGGUUGUUACAUUCCUCCUCUCUUUAAAUCCUGACAUCCUCAUCUAGUUCAAGCAAACUCAUAAGUACCAAGCGAUAUGAGACUUAUCUUAUUAGCCUUGUGACCUUGUGGAUAGCCACACUCCACCACUUACAAUAGUCAUCAGCUGGAGAGUCGCACUCUGUCUGUUGUAUGAUCCUGACUUAGUCGAGUAUGAAAUAUCCUCAUAAAAAUAGAACGACUGUAAAUUUAUAUUUGAAUGCACUCGGAAAUGUUCCGGACGAUAUUAGCAUAUGGAUAAAACGUUUAGAACAAUAUGGUCUAAUUAUAUUUAAAAAGGUCAAAAAUAUUAUUUAUUUUUUUAUAAAAUUUACGGGAAAUAUAUUAAAGUUUCAAACUUUUAUAUUGGAUUAUCUAAUAAUGUGUAAUAUUACCAUAAUAUAAUUUUUAAUGAAUAAUAGUAUUAAUUUUAAUACAACCUUAGAAAAGUAAUAUUCAAUAUAUAUAUUAUAUAAAAUUAAUAAAAUAAUAUAAUAAUAAUAUAUGUAAUACAAUUUAAUAAUCAAAAUAAUAUAUCAUAUCCAUACAAUUUAUACUAUAUGAUAAGCUUUUGGUGAAAAAAUAUACUAUACUUAAACUAAUAUUUUAUUAAUAUAUUUACUUAUCUAUUUAUAUAUUUAAAUGAUCGAAAAGAGAAAAAUGAAACCACAUGCAUGGUAUUAAAUUGAUAUAGUUUAAACUAUAGGAUACUAAAGUGAGAAAUGCGAAACCACAGGGGUAAUAUUUAAAGUUUAUCUUUCUUUUUUUUAAGU
rnacentral:lncRNA from 1 species